UACCCGCUGAGUUUAAGCAUAUCAAUAAGCGGAGGAAAAGAAACUAAG
rnacentral:rRNA from 2 species